rnacentral:rRNA from 1 species
GAUCCUGGCUCAGGAUGAACGCUGGCGGCGUGCUUAACACAUGCAAGUCGAGCGAAGCACUUAGGAAAGAUUCUUCGGAUGAUUUCCUAAGUGACUGAGCGGCGGACGGGUGAAGGUAACGCGUGGGUAACCUGCCUCAUACAGGGGGAUAACAGUUAGAAAUGACUGCUAAUACCGCAUAAGGCCACAGCACCGCAUGGUGCAGGGGUAAAAACUCCGGUGGUAUGAGAUGGACCCGCGU